rnacentral:rRNA from 1 species
GGUUAAGCGACUAAGCGUACACGGUGGAUGCCCUGGCAGUCAGAGGCGAUGAAGGACGUGCUAAUCUGCGAUAAGCGUCGGUAAGGUGAUAUGAACCGUUAUAACCGGCGAUUUCCGAAUGGGGAAACCCAGUGUGAUUCGUCACACUAUCAUUAACUGAAUCCAUAGGUUAAUGAGGCGAACCGGGGGAACUGAAACAUCUAAGUACCCCGAGGAAAAGAAAUCAACCGAGAUUCCCCCAGUAGCGGCGAGCGAACGGGGAGCAGCCCAGAGCCUGAAUCAGUGUGUGUGUUAGUGGAAGCGUCUGGAAAGGCGCGCGAUACAGGGUGACAGCCCCGUACACAAAAAUGCACAUGCUGUGAGCUCGAUGAGUAGGGCGGGACACGUGGUAUCCUGUCUGAAUAUGGGGGGACCAUCCUCCAAGGCUAAAUACUCCUGACUGACCGAUAGUGAACCAGUACCGUGAGGGAAAGGCGAAAAGAACCCCGGCGAGGGGAGUGAAAAAGAACCUGAAACCGUGUACGUACAAGCAGUGGGAGCACGCUUAGGCGUGUGACUGCGUACCUUUUGUAUAAUGGGUCAGCGACUUAUAUUCUGUAGCAAGGUUAACCGAAUAGGGGAGCCGAAGGGAAACCGAGUCUUAACUGGGCGUUAAGUUGCAGGGUAUAGACCCGAAACCCGGUGAUCUAGCCAUGGGCAGGUUGAAGGUUGGGUAACACUAACUGGAGGACCGAACCGACUAAUGUUGAAAAAUUAGCGGAUGACUUGUGGCUGGGGGUGAAAGGCCAAUCAAACCGGGAGAUAGCUGGUUCUCCCCGAAAGCUAUUUAGGUAGCGCCUCGUGAAUUCAUCUCCGGGGGUAGAGCACUGUUUCGGCAAGGGGGUCAUCCCGACUUACCAACCCGAUGCAAACUGCGAAUACCGGAGAAUGUUAUCACGGGAGACACACGGCGGGUGCUAACGUCCGUCGUGAAGAGGGAAACAACCCAGACCGCCAGCUAAGGUCCCAAAGUCAUGGUUAAGUGGGAAACGAUGUGGGAAGGCCCAGACAGCCAGGAUGUUGGCUUAGAAGCAGCCAUCAUUUAAAGAAAGCGUAAUAGCUCACUGGUCGAGUCGGCCUGCGCGGAAGAUGUAACGGGGCUAAACCAUGCACCGAAGCUGCGGCAGCGACGCUUAUGCGUUGUUGGGUAGGGGAGCGUUCUGUAAGCCUGUGAAGGUGUGCUGUGAGGCAUGCUGGAGGUAUCAGAAGUGCGAAUGCUGACAUAAGUAACGAUAAAGCGGGUGAAAAGCCCGCUCGCCGGAAGACCAAGGGUUCCUGUCCAACGUUAAUCGGGGCAGGGUGAGUCGACCCCUAAGGCGAGGCCGAAAGGCGUAGUCGAUGGGAAACAGGUUAAUAUUCCUGUACUUGGUGUUACUGCGAAGGGGGGACGGAGAAGGCUAUGUUGGCCGGGCGACGGUUGUCCCGGUUUAAGCGUGUAGGCUGGUUUUCCAGGCAAAUCCGGAAAAUCAAGGCUGAGGCGUGAUGACGAGGCACUACGGUGCUGAAGCAACAAAUGCCCUGCUUCCAGGAAAAGCCUCUAAGCAUCAGGUAACAUCAAAUCGUACCCCAAACCGACACAGGUGGUCAGGUAGAGAAUACCAAGGCGCUUGAGAGAACUCGGGUGAAGGAACUAGGCAAAAUGGUGCCGUAACUUCGGGAGAAGGCACGCUGAUAUGUAGGUGAAGUCCCUCGCGGAUGGAGCUGAAAUCAGUCGAAGAUACCAGCUGGCUGCAACUGUUUAUUAAAAACACAGCACUGUGCAAACACGAAAGUGGACGUAUACGGUGUGACGCCUGCCCGGUGCCGGAAGGUUAAUUGAUGGGGUCAGCGCAAGCGAAGCUCUUGAUCGAAGCCCCGGUAAACGGCGGCCGUAACUAUAACGGUCCUAAGGUAGCGAAAUUCCUUGUCGGGUAAGUUCCGACCUGCACGAAUGGCGUAAUGAUGGCCAGGCUGUCUCCACCCGAGACUCAGUGAAAUUGAACUCGCUGUGAAGAUGCAGUGUACCCGCGGCAAGACGGAAAGACCCCGUGAACCUUUACUAUAGCUUGACACUGAACAUUGAGCCUUGAUGUGUAGGAUAGGUGGGAGGCUUAGAAGUGUGGACGCCAGUCUGCAUGGAGCCGACCUUGAAAUACCACCCUUUAAUGUUUGAUGUUCUAACGUUGACCCGUAAUCCGGGUUGCGGACAGUGUCUGGUGGGUAGUUUGACUGGGGCGGUCUCCUCCUAAAGAGUAACGGAGGAGCACGAAGGUUGGCUAAUCCUGGUCGGACAUCAGGAGGUUAGUGCAAUGGCAUAAGCCAGCUUGACUGCGAGCGUGACGGCGCGAGCAGGUGCGAAAGCAGGUCAUAGUGAUCCGGUGGUUCUGAAUGGAAGGGCCAUCGCUCAACGGAUAAAAGGUACUCCGGGGAUAACAGGCUGAUACCGCCCAAGAGUUCAUAUCGACGGCGGUGUUUGGCACCUCGAUGUCGGCUCAUCACAUCCUGGGGCUGAAGUAGGUCCCAAGGGUAUGGCUGUUCGCCAUUUAAAGUGGUACGCGAGCUGGGUUUAGAACGUCGUGAGACAGUUCGGUCCCUAUCUGCCGUGGGCGCUGGAGAACUGAGGGGGGCUGCUCCUAGUACGAGAGGACCGGAGUGGACGCAUCACUGGUGUUCGGGUUGUCAUGCCAAUGGCACUGCCCGGUAGCUAAAUGCGGAAGAGAUAAGUGCUGAAAGCAUCUAAGCACGAAACUUGCCCCGAGAUGAGUUCUCCCUGACUCCUUGAGAGUCCUGAAGGAACGUUGAAGACGACGACGUUGAUAGGCCGGGUGUGUAAGCGCAGCGAUGCGUUGAGCUAACCGGUACUAAUGAACCGUGAGG